AGCCCCCACAGCCGAAGGCCUCCGGAACCCAGCUAAAGCCAUGCUCAAGGACCCUCUCCACAUGUUUGGACUAGCCUCACACAUGAAAGAACCGGCAGAGGAAUCCAGCUAAACUUAGUUUCUGAACACCUGUUCCAGCCUUCCGCCUGUUUGUAACCACCCUGAUUUGUAUUUGUAGAGAGUCUCUUGCUCGUGAGCCUGGCUGUCUUUCCUGGGGCCCCGAGGAGGGGAUGAGCUCCAGCUUCCCUCCCCGCCCCCAGCAGAGCUCCCGGUAACCGAAGAUCUCCGGAACCUAGCCACAGCCAUGCUCAAGGCUCCUCUCCACAUGUUCGGACAAGCCUCAUGCAUGAAG